UACGUAGGGUGCAAGCGUUUGUCCGGAAUUAUUGGGCGUAAAGAGCUCGUAGCCGGUCUGUCGCGUCUGCUGUGAAAACUCAGGGCUUAACCCUGAGCUUGCAGUGGGUACGGGCAGACUAGAGUGCGGUAGGGGAGACUGGAAUUCCUGGUGUAGCGGUGAAAUGCGCAGAUAUCAGGAGGGAACACCGGUGGGCGAAGGCGGGUCUCUGGGCCGUAACUGACGCUGGAGGA
rnacentral:rRNA from 1 species